rnacentral:rRNA from 1 species
UGGGGAAUAUUCCGCAAUGGGGGAAACCCUGACGGAGCAACGCCGCGUGAGCGAAGAAGGCCUUUGGGUUGUAAAGCUCUGUCUUCAGGGAAGAAACCUUAAGAGAGGAUAAUGCUCUUAAGCUGACGGUACCUGAGGAGGAAGCCCCGGCUAACUACGUGCCAGCAGCCGCGGUAAUACGUAGGGGGCGAGCGUUGUCCGGAAUUAUUGGGCGUAAAGCGCGCGUAGGCGGUCAUUUAAGUCAGGCGUGAAAAACCUAGGCUCAACCAAGGUAUUGCGUUUGAAACUGGAUGACUUGAGGGCAGGAGAGGAUAGCGGAAUUCCUAGUGUAGCGGUGAAAUGCGUAGAGAUUAGGAGGAACACCAGUGGCGAAGGCGGCUAUCUGGCCUGUACCUGACGCUGAGGUGCGAAAGCUGGGGGAGCGAACGGG